rnacentral:autocatalytically_spliced_intron from 2 species
UAAAGGUAUAGUCUAUCCCAUUGGUGACAAUG